rnacentral:rRNA from 1 species
GUGAAUGCUGGCGGUAGGCCUAACACAUGCAAGUCGAACGGCAGCACAGUAAGAGCUUGCUCUUACGGGUGGCGAGUGGCGGACGGGUGAGGAAUACAUCGGAAUCUACUUUUUCGUGGGGGAUAACGUAGGGAAACUUACGCUAAUACCGCAUACGACCUACGGGUGAAAGCAGGGGAUCUUCGGACCUUGCGCGAUUGAAUGAGCCGAUGUCGGAUUAGCUAGUUGGCGGGGUAAAGGCCCACCAAGGCGACGAUCCGUAGCUGGUCUGAGAGGAUGAUCAGCCACACUGGAACUGAGACACGGUCCAGACUCCUACGGGAGGCAGCAGUGGGGAAUAUUGGACAAUGGGCGCAAGCCUGAUCCAGCCAUACCGCGUGAGUGAAGAAGGCCUUCGGGUUGUAAAGCCCUUUUGUUGGGAAAGAAAAGCAGCAGGUUAAUACCCCGCUGUUCUGACGGUACCCAAAGAAUAAGCACCGGCUAACUUCGUG